AUUUCUUCUUGCCUUUUUGGCUAAGAUCAAGUGUAGUAUCUGUUCUCAUCAGUUUCAUAUAUGAUAUGUUCUGUAUUGGAGAACUAUAUAUUAAAUUGGUGUUUUUAAAAAUUUGAAUUAAAAGGUAAUCCAAGGGGCAGGUGAGCAGAGAGACAGGUACUGUAA
ensembl:snRNA U2 U2 spliceosomal RNA